rnacentral:rRNA from 1 species
GAUGAACGCUGGCGGCGUGCCUAAUACAUGCAAGUCGAGCGAACGGACGAUGAGCUUGCUUCUCUGAUGUUAGCGGCGGACGGGUGAGUAACACGUGGAUAAUCUCCUUAUCAGUCUGGGAUAACUUCGGGACACGGGCGCAAAUACCGGAUAAUCUUUUGAUCCGCGUGGUUGAAAGGUGAAUGACGGUCUUGCUGUCACUACUCGCUGGUUACGCGCUGCUUUAGGUAGUUGGGGAGGUAAAGGCGUUCCACGGGAACGAUGCAUGGCCGAAGUGAGGGGCUGAUCGGCGACACUGGAACGGAGCCACGGUCCAGACGCCUAAGGGAGGCAGCAGUAUGGAACCGUCCGCAAUAGUCGAGAGCCUGACGGAGCAGCGCCGCGUGAGUGAUGAAGGUCUUCGGUUCGUAAAACUCUGUUAUGAGGGAAAAACAUAUUUGUAAGGAGCUGUACACUUCGUGACGGUACCUAAUCAGAAAGCCACGGCUAACUACGUG